rnacentral:rRNA from 1 species
GGCUCCCUGUAAAACUGUAAAUAGGGAGUCGGACCUGCCCAGUGAAUUAUUUCAACGGCCGCGGUACUCUGACCGUGCAAAGGUAGCAUAAUCAUUUGCCUUAUAAUUGAAGGCUUGUAUGAAUGGUUUGACAAGAAUGUAACUGUCUCUUUAUAAUUAAAUAAAAUUUUAUUUACAGGUGAAGAAGCCUGUAUUUUAUUGAAAGACAAGAAGACCCUAUCGAGCUUUAAAAAAGUUAAUAAACUCAAAACCUUAUACUUCGUAAAAAAUUAGUUAUUAAAAAUUUUGGUUGGGGCGACUGGGGAACAAACAAAGCUUCCUUUAUUUUUUAAGACAAUCAAGUAGAGACCCAAAAACUUUGAUUAGAGAAUUUAGUUACCGUAGGGAUAACAGCAUUAUCUUUUUUGAGAGCUCCAAUCGAAAAAAAGGUUUGUGACCUCGAUGUUGGACCAGAAUAUCCUGAAGAUGUAGCCGUCUUCAAGGGUUGGUCUGUUCGACCAUUAAAAUUCU